UGAACGCUGGCGGCGCGCCUAAUACAUGCAAGUCGAGCGAGAAGACGUGGCAAUACGUUUGUAAAGCGGCGAACGGGUGAGGAAUACAUGGGUAACCUACCCUCGAGUGGGGAAUAACUGGCCGAAAGGUUAGCUAAUACCGCGUACGCUUCUUGGACUUCGGUUCAGGGAGGAAAGCGAUACCGUGGGUAUCGCGCUCUUGGAUGGGCUCAUGUCCUAUCAGCUUGUUGGUGAGGUAACGGCUCACCAAGGCUUCGACGGGUAGCUGGUCUGAGAGGACGAUCAGCCACACUGGCACUGCGACACGGGCCAGACUCCUACGGGUGGCAGCAGUAAGGAAUAUUGCGCAAUGGGCGAAAGCCUGACGCAGCGACGCCGCGUGGGGGAUGAAGGUCUUCGGAUUGUAAACCCCUUUCGGGAGGGAAGAUGGAACGAGCAAUCGUUCGGACGGUACCUCCAGAAGUAGCCACGGCUAACUUCGUGCCAGCAGCCGCGGUAAUACGAAGGUGGCAAGCGUUAUUCGGAUUUACUGGGCGUACAGGGAGCGUAGGCGGUUCGGUAAGCCCUUUGUGAAAUCUCCAGGCUUAACCUGGAACAGUCGGAGGGGACUGCCGGGCUAGAGGACGGGAGAGGAGCGCGGAAUUCCCGGUGUAGCGGUGAAAUGCGUAGAGAUCGGGAGGAAGGCCGGUGGCGAAGGCGGCGCUCUGGAACGUUUCUGACGCUGAGGCUCGAAAGCGUG
rnacentral:rRNA from 1 species